GGGUUGUGAGGUUAAGCGACUAAGCGUACACGGUGGAUGCCCUGGCAGUCAGAGGCGAUGAAGGACGUGCUAAUCUGCGAUAAGCGUCGGUAAGGUGAUAUGAACCGUUAUAACCGGCGAUUUCCGAAUGGGGAAACCCAGUGUGAUUCGUCACACUAUCAUUAACUGAAUCCAUAGGUUAAUGAGGCGAACCGGGGGAACUGAAACAUCUAAGUACCCCGAGGAAAAGAAAUCAACCGAGAUUCCCCCAGUAGCGGCGAGCGAACGGGGAGCAGCCCAGAGCCUGAAUCAGUGUGUGUGUUAGUGGAAGCGUCUGGAAAGGCGUGCGAUACAGGGUGACAGCCCCGUACACAAAAAUGCACAUGCUGUGAGCUCGAUGAGUAGGGCGGGACACGUGGUAUCCUGUCUGAAUAUGGGGGGACCAUCCUCCAAGGCUAAAUACUCCUGACUGACCGAUAGUGAACCAGUACCGUGAGGGAAAGGCGAAAAGAACCCCGGCGAGGGGAGUGAAAAAGAACCUGAAACCGUGUACGUACAAGCAGUGGGAGCACGCUUAGGCGUGUGACUGCGUACCUUUUGUAUAAUGGGUCAGCGACUUAUAUUCUGUAGCAAGGUUAACCGAAUAGGGGAGCCGAAGGGAAACCGAGUCUUAACUGGGCGUUAAGUUGCAGGGUAUAGACCCGAAACCCGGUGAUCUAGCCAUGGGCAGGUUGAAGGUUGGGUAACACUAACUGGAGGACCGAACCGACUAAUGUUGAAAAAUUAGCGGAUGACUUGUGGCUGGGGGUGAAAGGCCAAUCAAACCGGGAGAUAGCUGGUUCUCCCCGAAAGCUAUUUAGGUAGCGCCUCGUGAAUUCAUCUCCGGGGGUAGAGCACUGUUUCGGCAAGGGGGUCAUCCCGACUUACCAACCCGAUGCAAACUGCGAAUACCGGAGAAUGUUAUCACGGGAGACACACGGCGGGUGCUAACGUCCGUCGUGAAGAGGGAAACAACCCAGACCGCCAGCUAAGGUCCCAAAGUCAUGGUUAAGUGGGAAACGAUGUGGGAAGGCCCAGACAGCCAGGAUGUUGGCUUAGAAGCAGCCAUCAUUUAAAGAAAGCGUAAUAGCUCACUGGUCGAGUCGGCCUGCGCGGAAGAUGUAACGGGGCUAAACCAUGCACCGAAGCUGCGGCAGCGACGCUUAUGCGUUGUUGGGUAGGGGAGCGUUCUGUAAGCCUGCGAAGGUGUGCUGUGAGGCAUGCUGGAGGUAUCAGAAGUGCGAAUGCUGACAUAAGUAACGAUAAAGCGGGUGAAAAGCCCGCUCGCCGGAAGACCAAGGGUUCCUGUCCAACGUUAAUCGGGGCAGGGUGAGUCGACCCCUAAGGCGAGGCCGAAAGGCGUAGUCGAUGGGAAACAGGUUAAUAUUCCUGUACUUGGUGUUACUGCGAAGGGGGGACGGAGAAGGCUAUGUUGGCCGGGCGACGGUUGUCCCGGUUUAAGCGUGUAGGCUGGUUUUCCAGGCAAAUCCGGAAAACUAAGGCUGAGGCGUGAUGACGAGGCACUACGGUGCUGAAGCAACAAAUGCCCUGCUUCCAGGAAAAGCCUCUAAGCAUCAGGUAACAUCAAAUCGUACCCCAAACCGACACAGGUGGUCAGGUAGAGAAUACCAAGGCGCUUGAGAGAACUCGGGUGAAGGAACUAGGCAAAAUGGUGCCGUAACUUCGGGAGAAGGCACGCUGAUAUGUAGGUGAAGUCCCUCGCGGAUGGAGCUGAAAUCAGUCGAAGAUACCAGCUGGCUGCAACUGUUUAUUAAAAACACAGCACUGUGCAAACACGAAAGUGGACGUAUACGGUGUGACGCCUGCCCGGUGCCGGAAGGUUAAUUGAUGGGGUUAGCGCAAGCGAAGCUCUUGAUCGAAGCCCCGGUAAACGGCGGCCGUAACUAUAACGGUCCUAAGGUAGCGAAAUUCCUUGUCGGGUAAGUUCCGACCUGCACGAAUGGCGUAAUGAUGGCCAGGCUGUCUCCACCCGAGACUCAGUGAAAUUGAACUCGCUGUGAAGAUGCAGUGUACCCGCGGCAAGACGGAAAGACCCCGUGAACCUUUACUAUAGCUUGACACUGAACAUUGAGCCUUGAUGUGUAGGAUAGGUGGGAGGCUUUGAAGUGUGGACGCCAGUCUGCAUGGAGCCGACCUUGAAAUACCACCCUUUAAUGUUUGAUGUUCUAACGUUGACCCGUAAUCCGGGUUGCGGACAGUGUCUGGUGGGUAGUUUGACUGGGGCGGUCUCCUCCUAAAGAGUAACGGAGGAGCACGAAGGUUGGCUAAUCCUGGUCGGACAUCAGGAGGUUAGUGCAAUGGCAUAAGCCAGCUUGACUGCGAGCGUGACGGCGCGAGCAGGUGCGAAAGCAGGUCAUAGUGAUCCGGUGGUUCUGAAUGGAAGGGCCAUCGCUCAACGGAUAAAAGGUACUCCGGGGAUAACAGGCUGAUACCGCCCAAGAGUUCAUAUCGACGGCGGUGUUUGGCACCUCGAUGUCGGCUCAUCACAUCCUGGGGCUGAAGUAGGUCCCAAGGGUAUGGCUGUUCGCCAUUUAAAGUGGUACGCGAGCUGGGUUUAGAACGUCGUGAGACAGUUCGGUCCCUAUCUGCCGUGGGCGCUGGAGAACUGAGGGGGGCUGCUCCUAGUACGAGAGGACCGGAGUGGACGCAUCACUGGUGUUCGGGUUGUCAUGCCAAUGGCACUGCCCGGUAGCUAAAUGCGGAAGAGAUAAGUGCUGAAAGCAUCUAAGCACGAAACUUGCCCCGAGAUGAGUUCUCCCUGACUCCUUGAGAGUCCUGAAGGAACGUUGAAGACGACGACGUUGAUAGGCCGGGUGUGUAAGCGCAGCGAUGCGUUGAGCUAACCGGUACUAAUGAACCGUGAGGCUUAACCUUACAACGCCGAAGGUGUUU
rnacentral:rRNA from 1 species